rnacentral:lncRNA from 1 species
UUUCUGUGAAGCAGGCAAUUCAGGUAAGGUCUUACUAUGCUGGAAGAUGGGACGAGGAGCUAGCUGCGUGUUCGUGGGACGUCACUGACGCAGAGCCUACGGGUGUGAGGUCUCGUUUAGUGAGUCACAUUGCCAGGACAUCACUCGAGAAGGGAGCCCUAGGUGCAGGAGGUAUGUGCAGUGUGAACAUUAGGGCUUUGCAUCGCUUCACCUCUGUGUGAUGUUUCUUUCACUGCCUUUGGAUCAAGACGUAGAACUCCCCGCUCCUUCUCUAGCACCACAUCUGCCUGCUGCCAUGCUUCCCGCCAUGACGAUAAUGCACUAAACCUCUGAACU